CCUGAGACGACGUCCUGCGGGAUCUUCCCGGG
rnacentral:sRNA from 1 species